CACACCCCAAGCUGUGCUUGAUGUUGGGCGAGGUUGCAGGAUCUCCUCCUGUAGGAGAGAUGCGGCACGCCUGGAACGCGUGGGCGCCGCCGCCGGAGCAGGAGCGUAGCAAGACGCAAGUCAUUCGCUCGAUGGGACCGGACGGACGGUGUGGCAGCGGACGUGAAAGCGUCUGAAGUUAAUUAAGAAGCAAACUG
rnacentral:misc_RNA from 1 species